UACGGAGGGUGCGAGCGUUAUCCGGAAUUACUGGGCUUAAAGGGUGCGUAGGCUGCGUAGUAAGUCAGGAGUGAAAGUUUGCGGCUCAACCGUAAAAUUGCUUUUGAUACUGCUAUGCUAGAAUUAGGAUGAGGUCAGCGGAAUGUGGCAUGUAGCGGUGAAAUGCAUAGAUAUGCCAUAGAACACCAAUUGCGAAGGCAGCUGGCUAGACCUGGAUUGACGCUGAGGCACGAAAGCGUGGGGAGCGAACAGG
rnacentral:rRNA from 1 species